rnacentral:rRNA from 1 species
CUCGAUCACUCCUACGGGAGGCAGCAGUGGGGAAUAUUGCACAAUGGGGGAAACCCUGAUGCAGCCAUGCCGCGUGUGUGAAGAAGGCCUUCGGGUUGUAAAGCACUUUCAGUAGGGAGGAAGGUAGUGUAGUUAACACCUGCAUUAUUUGACGUUACCUACAGAAGAAGCACCGGCUAACUCCGUGCCAGCAGCCGCGGUAAUACGGAGGGUGCGAGCGUUAAUCGGAAUUACUGGGCGUAAAGCGCAUGCAGGCGGCCUGUUAAGUCAGAUGUGAAAGCCCGGGGCUUAACCUCGGAAUUGCAUUUGAAACUGGCAGGCUAGAGUCUUGUAGAGGGGGUAGAAUUUCAGGUGUAGCGGUGAAAAUGCGUAGAGAUCUGAAGGAAUACCAGUGGCGAAGGCGGCCCCCUGGACAAAGACUGACGCUCAGAUGCGAAAGCGUGGGGAGCAAACAGGAUUAGAUACCCUGGUAG